rnacentral:rRNA from 1 species
UGGGGAAUUGUUCGCAAUGGGCGCAAGCCUGACGACGCAACGCCGCGUGGAGGAUGAAGGUCUUCGGAUUGUAAACUCCUGUUGAUUGGGACGAACAUCCAUCGGGCUAAUACCCCGGAGGACUGACGGUACCGAUUGAGGAAGCCCCGGCUAACUCUGUGCCAGCAGCCGCGGUAAUACAGAGGGACCAAGCGUUGUUCGGAUUUACUGGGCGUAAAGGGAGCGUAGGCGGCGCGUCAAGUCAGCUGUGAAAUCUUAAGGCUUAACCUUAAGCGGUCAGCUGAUACUGUCGUGCUAGAGUACAGAAGGGGCAAUCGGAAUUCUUGGUGUAGCGGUGAAAUGCGUAGAUAUCAAGAGGAACACCUGAGGUGAGGACGGGUUGCUGGGCUGAUACUGACGCUGAGGCUCGAAAGCCAGGGGAGCAA